UACCAGCACCCCGAGUGGUCGGUUCGAUUAUUGGGCCUAAAGCAUCCGUAGCCGGUUUUACAAGUCCUCCGUUAAAUCCAGCUGCUUAACAGAUGGGCUGCGGAGGAUACUAUAAGACUAGGAGGCAGGAGAGGCAAGCGGUACUCAGUGGGUAGGGGUAAAAUCCGUUGAUCCAUUGAAGACCACCAGUGGCGAAGGCGGCUUGCCAGAAUGCGCUCGACGGUGAGGGAUGAAAGCUGGGGGAGCAAACGGG
rnacentral:rRNA from 1 species